rnacentral:rRNA from 1 species
UACGUAGGGUGCGAGCGUUGUCCGGAAUUAUUGGGCGUAAAGAGCUUGUAGGCGGUUUGUCGCGUCUGCUGUGAAAAUCCGGGACUCAACCCCGGACCUGCAGUGGGUACGGGCAGACUAGAGUGUGGUAGGGGAGACUGGAAUUCCUGGUGUAGCGGUGAAAUGCGCAGAUACCAGGAGGAACACCGAUGGCGAAGGCAGGUCUCUGGGCCACUACUGACGCUGAGAAGCGAAAGCAUGGGGAGCGAACAGG